GACGAACGCUGGCGGCGUGCCUAAUACAUGCAAGUUGAGCGAUGAAGAUUGGUGCUUGCACCAAUUUGAAGAGCAGCGCACGGGUGAGUAACGCGUGGGGAAUCUGCCUUUGAGCGGGGGACAACAUUUGGAAACGAAUGCUAAUACCGCAUAAUAACUUUAAACAUAAGUUUUAAGUUUGAAAGAUGCAAUUGCAUCACUCAAAGAUGAUCCCGCGUUGUAUUAGCUAGUUGGUGAGGUAAAGGCUCACCAAGGCGAUGAUACAUAGCCGACCUGAGAGGGUGAUCGGCCACAUUGGGACUGAGACACGGCCCAAACGCCUACGGGAGGCAGCAGUAGGGAAUCUUCGGCAAUGGACGAAAGUCUGACCGAGCAACGCCGCGGGAGUGAAGAAGGGCUUCGGAUCGGAAAACUCGGUUGGUAGAGAAGAACGUUGGUGAGAGUGGAAAGCUCAUCAAGUGACGGUAACUACACAGAAAGGGACGGCUAACUACGUG
rnacentral:rRNA from 1 species